ensembl:lncRNA
AAAAUUCUAAUUCUAAACUCUUGAUGAUUCCUACAAGUCAGUGUUGAGGCUGCAUCAGUCUUUCGCUCUGCACAAUAAAGGACAAUCACCUGCGUGUCAACACGGUCUUCAGGGUGAAACUUUUCCAAGAGCAUACUCUUGCUCUUUUUGCUUGUUGUCCAGAAAAUUUGAAAUGACUCGCGCAGCCCAGCCAGGAGACACCAAAUUGUCGUGGAAAAGACAACACUCGCACAAUCGUCCUCUGAAGAAUUAGGAAUAGUUAGGAAGUUUCUGUAAUAUGGCCCUGGAACGUAAGAAGGACGUGGAAGACAACCAGGACACCUUGAUCACUCAGGUUGAUGAAAAUGGCCGGAGGAUGACUGUGACACAGCAGGGUCACGGGGAACCUGGAGCCUAUCCCAGGGAGCAUGGGGCACAAGGCGGGGUACACCCUGGACAGGGUUCCAAUACAUCAGGGCACAAUCACACACACACUCACACAUCCAUUCAUACACUAUGGACAAUUUGAACAUGCCAAUCAGCCUACCAUGCGUGUCUUUGGACUGGGGGAGGAAACCCCUGCAGCACGGGGAGAACAUGCAAACUCCACACACACAGGGCCACGGUGGGAAUCGAACCCCCGACCCUGGAGGUGUGAGGCGAACAUGCUUAGAACAAAUACAGCUGCAAUCAAAAUUAUUCAAUCCCCAUAGCAAUCCAGGUUUGUGAAUACCAGGGGGUGGAUAGUUUUGAGACUGGAGAAGUCACUAUAAGUUGCAAUUUUUGUUGAAACCACUUGAAGCAG